rnacentral:rRNA from 1 species
GGACGAACGCUGGCGGCGUGCCUAAUCCAUGCAAGUAGAACGCUGGAGAGAGGAGCUUGCUCUUCUUGGAUGAGUUGCGAACGGGUGAGUAACGCGUAGGUAACCUGCCUUGUAGCGGGGGAUAACUAUUGGAAACGAUAGCUAAUACCGCAUAACAAUGGAUGACCCAUGUCAUUUAUUUGAAAGGGGCAAAUGCUCCACUACAAGAUGGACCUGCGUUGUAUUAGCUAGUAGGUGAGGUAACGGCUCACCUAGGCGACGAUACAUAGCCGACCUGAGAGGGUGAUCGGCCACACUGGGACUGAGACACGGCCCAGACUCCUACGGGAGGCAGCAGUAGGGAAUCUUCGGCAAUAGGGGCAACCCUGACCGAGCAACGCCGCGUGAGUGAAGAAGGUUUUCGGAUCGUAAAGCUCUGUUGUAAGUCAAGAACGAGUGUGAGAGUGGAAAGUUCACACUGUGACGGUAGCUUACCAGAAAGGGACGGCUAACUACGUG